rnacentral:rRNA from 1 species
UCUGCCGCUUAUGGAUGGACCUGCGUCGCAUUAGCUAGUUGGAGUGGUAAAGGCACACCAAGGCGACGAUGCGUAGCCGACCUGAGAGGGUGAGCGGCCACACUGGGACUGAGACACGGCCCAGACUCCUACGGGAGGCAGCAGUAGGGAAUCUUCCGCAAUGGACGAAAGUCUGACGGAGCAACGCCGCGUGAGUGAAGAAGGUUUUCGGAUCGUAAAGCUUUGUUGCCAGGGAAGAAGAGCAAGGAGAGGAACUGCUCCUUGAGUGACGGUACCUGAGAAGAAAGCCCCGGCUAACUACGUG